rnacentral:rRNA from 1 species
CGGGCGUUAAGUUGCAGGGUAUAGACCCGAAACCCGGUGAUCUAGCCAUGGGCAGGUUGAAGGUUGGGUAACACUAACUGGAGGACCGAACCGACUAAUGUUGAAAAAUUAGCGGAUGACCUGUGGCUGGGGGUGAAAGGCCAAUCAAACCGGGAGAUAGCUGGUUCUCCCCGAAAGCUAUUUAGGUAGCGCCUCGUGAAUUCAUCUCCGGGGGUAGAGCACUGUUUCGGCUAGGGGGCCAUCCCGGCUUACCAACCCGAUGCAAACUGCGAAUACCGGAGAAUGUUAUCACGGGAGACACACGGCGGGUGCUAACGUCCGUCGUGAAGAGGGAAACAACCCAGACCGCCAGCUAAGGUCCCAAAGUCAUGGUUAAGUGGGAAACGAUGUGGGAAGGCCCAGACAGCCAGGAUGUUGGCUUAGAAGCAGCCAUCAUUUAAAGAAAGCGUAAUAGCUCACUGGUCGAGUCGGCCUGCGCGGAAGAUGUAACGGGGCUAAACCAUGCACCGAAGCUGCGGCAGCGACACUGUGUGUUGUUGGGUAGGGGAGCGUUCUGUAAGCCUGUG